rnacentral:ncRNA from 1 species
GGAUAAUCCCGGGUGACCGGGGAAAGGCUGGCGGAAGCUGGUUCCGCCCUCCCCUCCAGAGCGCGAUAGCGUAAUGUGAGGCAUAUAUCACCAGUUCCUCUGGCCGGAGUCGUGUCCGGUCAGUUCACACACGAAUCAGGAACUGAGCGGCGAGGCGCGAUUAGAAACCGCGCCGAGUCGAGUCAGGCCCACGGGACGUUUCGACCCGUGCGCCGACGCAGUUACCCCAGAGGGUUAUGGUUGCUACUGCGCAGACCAGAACGCAGUCGCGUUUCCUGGCGGGACGACCCCGCCAAAAGGCCCCACUCGCCGCACGAGGGGGGCACGCAAAGGAAGCGCGGCCGCGGGGAGAGAGCGGACCUAGGCAAAGUCCGUGCAACCUCCUCACUGGGGCGGUCCCGCAAAACGGGUUCGCCCUACUGCAAAAGCCAAAAGCAACCUGAGAGGUAAGAGGUCAGACCCGUAACGUAGGGCAAACGGCCGGCCAAAAGCUGGCGCUGUCCCUGCGGUCAUGGUGCCGACGCGAGAAAGUGAAAGUUUGCAGGCGUGUCAGCACCACGUCCGGCGAGCCGCUCCCGGCAGGGAGCGUCCGAACCGGGCGAAGAGGCCUCACUCGAAAGUUCCCGACCGGCAACGGUCAGGACGGUCCCGUCAUGAGACCGAGACAUCCGCAUGCCGCGGAGAGUGGCGUCGGGAAGCACACCGCCCGCGAAAGCGAGAGCGCCCAAGCGUGUGCCGCCGGGAAAGAGCGCGUGGCGAACGCC